UACGUAGGUGGCAAGCGUUGUCCGGAAUUAUUGGGCGUAAAGCGCGCGCAGGCGGUCCUAUAAGUCUGAUGUGAAAGCCCCCGGCUCAACCGGGGAGGGUCAUUGGAAACUGUAGGACUUGAGUACUGGAGAGAAGAGUGGAAUUCCACGUGUAGCGGUGAAAUGCGUAGAGAUGUGGAGGAACACCAGUGGCGAAGGCGACUCUUUGGCCAGAAACUGACGCUGAGGCGCGAAAGCGUGGGGAGCAAACAGG
rnacentral:rRNA from 1 species